rnacentral:rRNA from 1 species
GACGUAGGGCGCGAGCGUUGUCCGGAUUUAUUGGGCGUAAAGAGCUCGUAGGCGGCUUGUCGCGUCGACCGUGAAAACUUGGGGCUCAACCCCAAGCCUGCGGUCGAUACGGGCAGGCUAGAGUUCGGUAGGGGAGACUGGAAUUCCUGGUGUAGCGGUGAAAUGCGCAGAUAUCAGGAGGAACACCGGUGGCGAAGGCGGGUCUCUGGGCCGAUACUGACGCUGAGGAGCGAAGGUCAGGGGAGCAAACAGG